rnacentral:lncRNA from 1 species
GGCAAUCCCUCUCGCGGGCGCCGAGGCCGGAGCCGACCUGCACAGUUAGCUCGGGAAAAUUUUCUUGUAGUGGGAUUUGAAUAAGGAGCUCACCGGGCUCUACUUGCUUCUUUCAGAGGGUGUCCCUCGCAUCGAGGGUUUCUAUGGGCAGCGAAGGGCCCAUCGGGUGGUCCGGCGCCUCGGCUGGUUGCCUUACUGUGUGGGCCGCCAUGUAGCAUUGCUUGGCGACCAGCUGGUCUCCGCGGACCUCGCCUACUCCUUGGUCGGUGGGGAACCGCAUGAGCAAAUGGCGAGUUGAAACCACGGCUCGAAGGGCAUUUAGCCCUGGGCGCCCAAGGAUGGCGUUGUAGACCGAGGGCAGACGGACUACCAGGAAGUCCAUCCUCACAGUGCUCUCCCGGGGGGCGAGGCCGACUGUG